rnacentral:rRNA from 1 species
UACGUAGGGAGCAAGCGUUGUUCGGAUUUACUGGGCGUAAAGGGCGCGUAGGUGGCGGGACAAGCGUGCGGUGAAAGCCUGGGGCUCAACCCCGGGUCGGCCGUGCGAACUGUUUUGCUUGAGCACUGUAGAGGCAGGCGGAAUUCCGGGUGUAGCGGUGGAAUGCGUAGAGAUCCGGAAGAACACCGGUGGCGAAGGCGGCCUGCUGGGCAGUUACUGACACUGAGGCGCGACAGCGUGGGGAGCAAACAGG